GUGAUUGCUUUGGUAGCACGUAUACUAAAACUGGAACAAUAUAGAGAUUAGCACAGCCCCUGUGCACAGUGAUGACAUGUAAAUUUAUGAAGCAUUCCAUAUUUUA